rnacentral:rRNA from 1 species
UGCAGUCGAGCGGUAAGGCCCUUCGGGGUACACGAGCGGCGAACGGGUGAGUAACACGUGGGUGAUCUGCCUUGCACUCUGGGAUAAGCCUGGGAAACUGGGUCUAAUACCGGAUAUGACCUUCGGUUGCAUGACCGGGGGUGGAAAGAUUUAUCGGUGCAAGAUGAGCCCGCGGCCUAUCAGCUUGUUGGUGGGGUAAUGGCCUACCAAGGCGACGACGGGUAGCCGGCCUGAGAGGGCGACCGGCCACACUGGGACUGAGACACGGCCCAGACUCCUACGGGAGGCAGCAGUGGGGAAUAUUGCACAAUGGGCGGAAGCCUGAUGCAGCGACGCCGCGUGAGGGAUGACGGCCUUCGGGUUGUAAACCUCUUUCGACUCCGACGAAGCGAGAGUGACGGUAGGAGUAUAAGAAGCACCGGCCAACUACGUGCCAGCAGCCGCGGUAAUACGUAGGGUGCGAGCGUUGUCCGGAAUUACUGGGCGUAAAGAGCUUGUAGGCGGUCUGUCGCGUCAUCUGUGAAAACUUGGGGCUCAACCUUAAGCUUGCAGGCGAUACGGGCAGACUAGAGUACUUCAGGGGAGACUGGAAUUCCUGGUGUAGCGGUGAAAUGCGCAGAUAUCAGGAGGAACACCGGUGGCGAAGGCGGGUCUCUGGGAAGUAACUGACGCUGAGAAGCGAAAGCGUGGGUAGCGAACAGGAUUAGAUACCCUGGUAGUCCACGCCGUAAACGGUGGGUACUAGGUGUGGGUUUCCUUCCACGGGAUCCGUGCCGUAGCU